rnacentral:rRNA from 1 species
AUUGAACGCUGGCGGCAUGCUUUACACAUGCAAGUCGAACGGUAACAGGGAGCUUGCUCCGCUGACGAGUGGCGAACGGGUGAGUAAUGCAUCGGAACAUCGCCCAGUCAGUGGGGGAUAACUACGCGAAAGCGUAGCUAAUACCGCAUACGCCCUGGAGGGGGAAAGGUGGGGGAUCUUAGGACCUCACGUGAUUGGAGUGGCCGAUGUCAGAUUAGCUAGUUGGUGAGGUAAAGGCUCACCAAGGCGACGAUCUGUAGCGGGUCUGAGAGGAUGAUCCGCCACACUGGGACUGAGACACGGCCCAGACUCCUACGGGAGGCAGCAGUGGGG